rnacentral:rRNA from 1 species
GACGAACGCUGGCGGCGUGCCUAAUACAUGCAAGUCGAACGCUGAAGAGAGGAGCUUGCUCUUCUUGGAUGAGUUGCGAACGGGUGAGUAACGCGUAGGUAACCUGCCUGGUAGCGGGGGAUAACUAUUGGAAACGAUAGCUAAUACCGCAUAAAAUGGAUUAUCGCAUGAUAAUCCAUUGAAAGGUGCAAAUGCAUCACUACCAGAUGGACCUGCGUUGUAUUAGCUAGUUGGUGGGGUAACGGCUCACCAAGGCGACGAUACAUAGCCGACCUGAGAGGGUGAUCCGCCACACUGGGAAUGAGACACGGCCCAGACUCCUAAGGGAGGCAGCAGUAGGGAAUCUUCGGCAAUGGACGGAAGUCUGACCGAGCAACGCCGCGUGAGUGAAGAAGGUUUUCGGAUCGUAAAGCUCUGUUGUAAGAGAAGAACGAGUGUGAGAGUGGAAAGUUCACACUGUGACGGUAUCUUACCAGAAAGGGACGGCUAACUACGUG